rnacentral:lncRNA from 1 species
CGAUAUAUCCCAAGCAAAGCUUCUGAGUGCAAGACACUGGAAUCCCUGCUGUGGAUCUCCUGGGCCCAGCACCACAAGAAGCUCUUACCACGGGAACACACAGUCCCUGUGCCAAGCAUAUUCAUGCAAGAGCUGAAAAGAAAACAGCCAAGCUCUUUCUGACCCGACUUUUCCUGGAGGGAUGCUGUGGACUGAGGAAGAGUCUCCCCACCCUAGCUCAAGCAAAAAGCCCUGGGACUUUCAAAGAAUCUUAGUGACAGAAGGAAUUUUGAGGUUUCACUGAAGCUUCUCAUUUUCCAGGUAAUGCCAGUGACUUGCCCCAAGCCACGCUGCCGGUCUGGGUGGGAACUCUGGUCUGUGGUUUCCAGCUCAUGCUCCAUCCCACUCAAGGAAGCUCCUUGAAGUUCAUGGUAACCUUGGGAACGAACAGGCUAUAAUCAUGGUGAAAGUGAG